UUUUUAAAAAGCACUGCUUACCCCUGGGGGCCAUUCAUAUAAUAAGUGUAUUGUAGAAAUUGAACAUUUUCUAAUGAUGUACAUUGUAGUGAAAUUUUACUUGAUAUUCAGUGCAUGUAUUUGUCACUUAAAGGUUCUUUCUGUAAACUGCUUCAGAUUCUUUUACUAUUCAAUUUUUAAUUCUUAAUAUCUGUAAAGAAUGUUAAUAUUCCUCUUUAUAAUCAAUCUUUCCCAGUUAGCCUUAAAAAUGUAUUCCCUACUUUUUCUUCAGGAGAUCACUAUUUGCAAAUGCAAAGAUUUUUUACUUAGACUUUUGAAAUCACUCUUAGUAACUUUAACAUUGUUUUUAGGUAUGAAAUUGAAGGCUGUGAAGUGAUUUGGGCCAUUAAAGAUAAAGCUAUAGGGAAUACUUUCUUCGAUGCAGGAGCAGCUGAAUUCUUGACUUCAAAGCUCAUUGCUGAAAAAUCAGAGGCUAAAAUUGCACAUAAAAGAACCAGAUAUACAACUGAAGGAAGGAAAAAGGAAGCUAGAAGCAAAUCUAAAGCAGAUAAUGUAGGCAGCGCAUUGGGACCAGAUUGG
rnacentral:sRNA from 1 species